rnacentral:lncRNA from 1 species
CGGAAGUUAACGAUAACGCUAGAUUCAUAAUUGUGGCUACGACCUUUUCAACCACAAUCGGCAUUGAUAAGCUUUCAUGGAAGAGUAUUCCAAACAACAGAUCCACUGCACCUUGUUUGAUCAUUUUUAAUCCAUUUUGUGGCACACCUGAGCGUUUUUCCAGGGCUAAAAUGGCAGCCUUCUUCAUCUCUAUAUUAACGUGAGAAAGCAUAGCAACAAGUGACUCUACUGCUCCGCUUUCACAAACUGUAAGUUUUCCAUGAUCUGUCAUAUCAACUUCUGAUAAUGUCUCCGCCAUUUCCCGUUGAACAGUUUCAGACCCUGUGUUGAUUCGUUUUUUCAUCAUCAAUUUCUAUUGAACAUUAAUUACAGACAUUAUUGUUUACCUGAAGAAAGAAGGUGAAGUAGAGGUUCAAAAUAAUUAGCUCUGGCCAUUUGCACGAUAUUUUGAGGAAGAAAAGAGUAAUUAUCCAAGAGUUUUUUGGCGUCAGUGGCAGCUUGAGGAUCAUCGCUA